AAAUUGAAGAGUUUGAUCAUGGCUCAGAUUGAACGCUGGCGGCAGGCCUAACACAUGCAAGUCGAACGGUAACAGGAAGCAGCUUGCUGCUUCGCUGACGAGUGGCGGACGGGUGAGUAAUGUCUGGGAAACUGCCUGAUGGAGGGGGAUAACUACUGGAAACGGUGGCUAAUACCGCAUAACGUCGCAAGACCAAAGAGGGGGACCUUCGGGCCUCUUGCCAUCAGAUGUGCCCAGAUGGGAUUAGCUUGUUGGUGAGGUAACGGCUCACCAAGGCGACGAUCCCUAGCUGGUCUGAGAGGAUGACCAGCCACACUGGAACUGAGACACGGUCCAGACUCCUACGGGAGGCAGCAGUGGGGAAUAUUGCACAAUGGGCGCAAGCCUGAUGCAGCCAUGCCGCGUGUAUGAAGAAGGCCUUCGGGUUGUAAAGUACUUUCAGCGGGGAGGAAGGUGUUGUGGUUAAUAACCGCAGCAAUUGACGUUACCCGCAGAAGAAGCACCGGCUAACUCCGUGCCAGCAGCCGCGGUAAUACGGAGGGUGCAAGCGUUAAUCGGAAUUACUGGGCGUAAAGCGCACGCAGGCGGUCUGUCAAGUCGGAUGUGAAAUCCCCGGGCUCAACCUGGGAACUGCAUUCGAAACUGGCAGGCUUGAGUCUUGUAGAGGGGGGUAGAAUUCCAGGUGUAGCGGUGAAAUGCGUAGAGAUCUGGAGGAAUACCGGUGGCGAAGGCGGCCCCCUGGACAAAGACUGACGCUCAGGUGCGAAAGCGUGGGGAGCAAACAGGAUUAGAUACCCUGGUAGUCCACGCCGUAAACGAUGUCUACUUGGAGGUUGUGCCCUUGAGGCGUGGCUUCCGGAGCUAACGCGUUAAGUAGACCGCCUGGGGAGUACGGCCGCAAGGUUAAAACUCAAAUGAAUUGACGGGGGCCCGCACAAGCGGUGGAGCAUGUGGUUUAAUUCGAUGCAACGCGAAGAACCUUACCUGGUCUUGACAUCCACAGAAGAAUCCAGAGAUGGAUUUGUGCCUUCGGGAACUGUGAGACAGGUGCUGCAUGGCUGUCGUCAGCUCGUGUUGUGAAAUGUUGGGUUAAGUCCCGCAACGAGCGCAACCCUUAUCCUUUGUUGCCAGCGGUUAGGCCGGGAACUCAAAGGAGACUGCCAGUGAUAAACUGGAGGAAGGUGGGGAUGACGUCAAGUCAUCAUGGCCCUUACGACCAGGGCUACACACGUGCUACAAUGGCGCAUACAAAGAGAAGCGACCUCGCGAGAGCAAGCGGACCUCAUAAAGUGCGUCGUAGUCCGGAUUGGAGUCUGCAACUCGACUCCAUGAAGUCGGAAUCGCUAGUAAUCGUGGAUCAGAAUGCCACGGUGAAUACGUUCCCGGGCCUUGUACACACCGCCCGUCACACCAUGGGAGUGGGUUGCAAAAGAAGUAGGUAGCUUAACCUUCGGGAGGGCGCUUACCACUUUGUGAUUCAUGACUGGGGUGAAGUCGUAACAAGGUAACCGUAGGGGAACCUGCGGUUGGAUCACCUCCUUACCUUAAAG
rnacentral:rRNA from 1 species